rnacentral:rRNA from 1 species
GUGGGGAAUAUUGGACAAUGGGCGAAAGCCUGAUCCAGCAAUGCCGCGUGAGUGAUGAAGGCCCUAGGGUUGUUAAGCUCUUUUACCCGGGAUGAUAAUGACAGUACCGGGAGAAUAAGCUCCGGCUAACUCCGUGCCAGCAGCCGCGGUAAUACGGAGGGAGCUAGCGUUGUUCGGAAUUACUGGGCGUAAAGCGCGCGUAGGCGGUUUUCAAAGUCAGGGGUGAAAGCCCGGGGCUCAACCCCGGAAUAGCCCUUGAAACUGGAAGACUAGAAUCUUGGAGAGGUCAGUGGAAUUCCGAGUGUAGAGGUGAAAUUCGUAGAUAUUCGGAAGAAAACCAGUGGCGAAGGCGACUGACUGGACAAGUAUUGACGCUGAGGUGCGAAAGCGUGGGGAGCAAACAGGAUUAGAUACCAUAGUAGUCC